AUAACAAAGAAACAGAGGAGAUCUAGCUCCAGCUCCCGAAAAGUUUCCCUCUGACUUCUACAUGAAAGCUGUGACACACAUACACAAAUAAAUAAAUGCCAAACUUUUUGGAGGGGUGGGGAGAGUUGAGACAGGGUUUCUCUGUGCAACAGCCCUGUCUGUCUUGGAACUCACUCUGUAGACCAGGCUGGCCUAGAAUUCACAAAGAUCCACCUGCCUCUGCCUCCCAAUUGCUGGGAUUAAAGGUGUGCACCACCAAUGCUCAGCUAGUUUUUGUUUUGUUUAUUUUAAGAUAAUAGAAACAUAUUCUUAUAUGUGACUGGGUAUUGCUAUGCUGGCCUCAAACUGACACUGUAGCUAAGGCUGUCCUUGAACUCCUGACCCUUCUCCCCCUAUCUCACAGGUAUAUGGCAUCAUAGUUCUUUUUGUUUUAUUUUUUGAAGCAGUGUGACUGUGUUACAUAGGCUGGCCUGAAACUGCUAUUCCUCUUGCCUUAGCUUCCUUAAUGCUGGGAAUAGAUAGAUGUGUGCCAGUGUUUCGACUUUUUAUUUUAAAUCAAGGUCACACAGUAUUGUCCAGUCUGGUGCAAAUUCCUGGCCUCAAAUGGUCCUCCAACCUCAGCAUCCUGAGGUUUUUGACUAGUGACUUGCAUCGAGUCAGACAACAACAGAAGAACAACAAUGCUGCAGAUUGAUCCAAAUAUGUACUUUCUGGAUAUGGCCCAGACUCUACAACUUGGUAACCUGUGACCUAUACUGUUCCACAUUCUGUAGGGAAAGCAAAGGUUUUUGGUUGCCAGCCACGGAGAAGUGACUCUGGCUCAUUUCAUCGGGAAAGGAAUUCCUAAGGAGGAUGCAGAGAGCUUUAGAAUUGAGGGUUCCGAGUCUAAAUGGAAUCCAGCCUCUGAAGCUGCUGCCUUCCAUCGUCCUGAUGUUCCAGAGAAGAAGCGGCCACCAGUCUGAACCUGAGUCCCAGCACAGACAAAGGGCACUAACCACUUCUGGGUGUAGGCAUACACAAUGAAGUCAGUGACUGUCAUGUAGGGUCAUGAUAAGUUCAGUCUUAGGGGCGCUACAAUGUAUAAGGCAAUUGGGGAAGCUGGAGAGAUGACCCAGUGAUUUAAAGCACUUGCUGCUGUUCCAGAGGACCUGAGUUCAGUUCCCAGCACCCAUUUUUUAUGGCUCUCAACUGUCUGUAAUUCCACCUCCAGGGGAUCCAACACCUUCUGGCCUUCACAGGCCUCACACAGACACAUUAAAAAUAAAUACAAUUUUAAAAGGC
rnacentral:lncRNA from 1 species